rnacentral:rRNA from 1 species
UACGUAGGGUGCAGGCGUUAAUCGGAAUUACUGGGCGUAAAGCGUGCGUAGGCGGUUUGUUAAGACAGGUGUGAAAUCCCCGGGCUUAACCUGGGAACUGCGCUUGUUACUGGGCAGACUGGAGUGUGGGCAGAGGGGGGUGGAAUUCCAGGUGUAGCAAGUGAAAUGCGUAGAUAUCUGGAGGAACACCGAUGGACGAAGGCGCCCCUGGGCUAACACUGACGCUGGAUGCACGAAAGCCGUGGGGAGCAAACAGG